rnacentral:rRNA from 1 species
CGGACGGGUGAGUAAUGCCUAGGAAUCUGCCUAGUGGUGGGGGAUAACGUUCGGAAACGGACGCUAAUACCGCAUACGUCCUACGGGAGAAAGCGGGGGAUCUUCGGACCUCGCGCCAUUAGAUGAGCCUAGGUCGGAUUAGCUAGUUGGUGAGGUAAUGGCUCACCAAGGCGACGAUCCGUAACUGGUCUGAGAGGAUGAUCAGUCACACUGGAACUGAGACACGGUCCAGACUCCUACGGGAGGCAGCAGUGGGGAAUAUUGGACAAUGGGCGAAAGCCUGAUCCAGCCAUGCCGCGUGUGUGAAGAAGGUCUUCGGAUUGUAAAGCACUUUAAGUUGGGAGGAAGGGUAGUAACCUAAUACGUUGCUACUUUGACGUUACCGACAGAAUAAGCACCGGCUAACUUCGUGCCAGCAGCCGCGGUAAUACGAAGGGUGCAAGCGUUAAUCGGAAUUACUGGGCGUAAAGCGCGCGUAGGUGGUUCAGCAAGUUGGAUGUGAAAGCCCUGGGCUCAACCUGGGAACUGCAUCCAAAACUACUGAGCUAGAGUACGGUAGAGGGUAGUGGAAUUUCCUGUGUAGCGGUGAAAUGCGUAGAUAUAGGAAGGAACACCAGUGGCGAAGGCGACUACCUGGACUGAUACUGACACUGAGGUGCGAAAGCGUGGGGAGCAAACAGGAUUAGAUACCCUGGUAGUCCACGCCGUAAACGAUGUCGACUAGCCGUUGGGAUCCUUGAGAUCUUAGUGGCGCAGCUAACGCAUUAAGUCGACCGCCUGGGGAAUACGGCCGCAAGGUUAAAACUCAAAUGAAUUGACGGGGGCCCGCACAAGCGGUGGAGCAUGUGGUUUAAUUCGAAG